rnacentral:rRNA from 1 species
CACGUAGUUAGCCGUGGCUUUCUGAUUAGGUACCGUCAAGACGUGCAUAGUUACUUACACAUUUGUUCUUCCCUAAUAACAGAGUUUUACGAUCCGAAGACCUUCAUCACUCACGCGGCGUUGCUCCGUCAAGCUUUCGCCCAUUGCGGAAGAUUCCCUACUGCUGCCUCCCGUAGGAGUCUGGACCGUGUCUCAGUUCCAGUGUGGCCGAUCACCCUCUCAGGUCGGCUACGCAUCGUUGCCUUGGUAAGCCGUUACCUUACCAACUAGCUAAUGCGGCGCGGAUCCAUCUAUAAGUGACAGCAAAACCGUCUUUCACUAUUGAACCAUGCGGUUCAAUAUAUUAUCCGGUAUUAGCUCCGGUUUCCCGAAGUUAUCCCAGUCUUAUAGGUAGGUUAUCCACGUGUUACUCACCCGUCCGCCGCUAACGUCAGAGGAGCAAGCUCCUCGUCUGUUCGCUCGACUUGCAUGUAUUAGGCACGCCGCCAGCGUUCAUCCUGAGCCA